GGGGUUGUGGCUCAGUGACAGAGCGCUUACCUCGCACAUAUGAGGCACUGGGUUCAAUCCUCAGCACCACA
rnacentral:tRNA from 1 species